AACGAACGCUAGCUACAGGCUUAGCACAUGCAAGUCGAGGGGUAACGAGAGGGAAGCUUGCUUUCCUUGUCGACGACCGGCGCACGGGUGAGUAACGCGUAUCCAACCUGCCCCCAACUAAGGAAUAACCUUGCGAAAGUAAGACUAAUACCCUAUAAUUUCCUCAGAUGUCAUCUGACGAGGAAUAAAGAUUUAUCGGUUGUGGAUGGGGAUGCGUCUGAUUAGCUUGUUGGCGGGGUAACGGCCCACCAAGGCAACGAUCAGUAGGGGUUCUGAGAGGAAGGUCCCCCACAUUGGAACUGAGACACGGUCCAAACUCCUACGGGAGGCAGCAGUGAGGAAUAUUGGUCAAUGGGCGGAAGCCUGAACCAGCCAAGUAGCGUGCAGGAUGACGGCCCUAUGGGUUGUAAACUGCUUUUAUACAGGAAUAAAGUUAGCCACGUGUGGUUAUUUGUAGGUACUGUAUGAAUAAGGACCGGCUAAUUCCGUGCCAGCCGCCGCAGUAA
rnacentral:rRNA from 1 species